rnacentral:lncRNA from 1 species
AAAUUUAAAACAUAUAGGUAGAUGCACAGUUAUCCGAAUCGAAUAAAAAGCGACUUACACAUUCCAUGUCUAUUACAAAAGUCAGAUAACAACUCGUUGUUCAAUUCAUCAUCAAGAAAAAACUUUUCAUAUGAUCAUUAUCAUCAUCGAACUAUAAAAAGGGCUCAUCAUGGCUUGCUCAUACUUAAAGGUACUGCCACCACAUUCAAAAGUGAAAACUCCCCUGGUCAUCCUUCUGUUCAGUUUUUACUCAUCACCAACAUAGCUACUUUAUGUAUCCAUAGUCUCAGCUCAAGAAAUCUUCCAAGCUUAUGGACCUGCAAUUAAAAAAAAAAUAACAGCAUAGUCCUAACAUCUCAAGCAACUCAUCGAUGAAUCCCACAUUCAACAUUCAUUUCAAUUUAGUUACGUUACACCAUGUUAAUGGCUGCUGCAUCUGGUUCUGUCCUUGCAUCUGCUCAAGUUCAAAUUCAGAAUGCAUUAAAGAGAGGAAAGCUUGUUGCGGAAAGGGUGUGCUCAGGGAUGUGUUAUGAAGCAUGUGUUCAGGGAUGGAUGGUUGCAUCUCACCCUUUGAUUCUCUACAUAACCACAUUGGAAAGCUUCCUCAAAUAGGUACCUGGAACAAAUAGAGAAAUAUUAACACUACAAUCAAACUAAUAACAUAAACAAUAUCAAAUCCAUGUCAUGACUUCAUUAAUUCUUAGUAGGGCAAGUGAUCAAAGUAUAUAGGCCAAAACAUGAAUCAAAGGUCUUCAAUUGCUUGCUUUGUAUAACUAUAUCAUCCAUCCACAUCCAUCACCAAAAUUAACCAUAGAAGUUCAUAAGACAACAAAAGAGCAGGCCAUAUGUGAAGUAGGGAGGUUAAAAUCCUACCGAUUUAAGCCAUAUGAUAUAAUCUGGAAGGCCACGUACCUGAUGUUGGUAUCUCUUGCAACAUUAUGAAGCUGUUCCUACAAUCGCCAUCAGCAGCGAAGAUACAUCCCUAGAAUCUAAGCUUCAAAGAUGAACGGAAAUUGAAACGACAAACAAAAGCCAGAGACUAAAGGGAGAAUGAUUAAAAAACUCACCACUCCCAAACGGCUCUGAUCUCUUUAAUCUGAUCGAGUGAUAACGUCAUCAUCCCCGCCGAUGGCAGCUGGUACCCAACUACGAUCUCCCCAUACCCCGUAUCAACAAAAUAUCAGCCACAAAUCCCACGCUGUGUUCACAGCCACCGACAAAGUCCUGAAAAAACCGCCACUUGCUUGCUCCACCAGCCGCCGCCAUCUUUCAAGUCAUCAUCCUGAACCUUGAAGAAAUUUUUGAAAUGGGUAGAGAAAAACCCGUGAAGUAUGGCGGGAUGGGAAUGAUAUUGUGGAUGAGAAGAGGGAGACAGAUAGAUGUAGCAAUCUCGGUGUGGAAGAGAAGAUGUGGUAACAUGCUGAAAGAUGGAAAUGCAGAGUCAGAGAGUAGAGGAGCAGGUGAAGAAACGCAGCAAGAGAGGGACCUUAAGACGCAAACCAACAGGCCCAAUUUCGCGAGAACACAAAAAAAGUCAACACGGGGAAAAAGAUAGUCAGCAGAGCCGAGUCUUCAAUCAGCUUCUUCAUCCUAAGGAAUCUCGAGAGAUGAUGACGUUUAAAUGAAAAAGAAAGAACAACCUCUAUAUGAUUAUGCAGAGGGGAAACGUGAAAAUAACGUAC